rnacentral:rRNA from 1 species
UCUGGCUCAGAAUGAACGCUAUUAAUAUGCUUUACACAUGCAAGUUGAAUGAUUUUUAAACAAUCAUAGCGAACGGGUGUAGAAAAUACGGGAAUCUGCCUUAUAAUCCGGGAAUAAUUAUACUGUAUUAACGGGAAUUGCUUUUUUAACUUAUUAAAAAAGUAAGUAAAAAUACCGGAUAAAUUAAAAAAGAAUCUUUUCUGUUAUAAGAUGAGCCCGUAUAGGAUUAGGUAGUUGGUAAGGUAAAGGCUUACCAAGCCUAUGAUCCUUAGCUGGUCUGAAAGGAUGUACAGCCACACUGGGACUGAGACACGGCCCAGACUCCGUUAGGAGGCAGCAGUGAGGAAUAUUGGACAAUGAGCGAAAGCUUGAUCCAGCAAUAUUAAAAAAAGGAAGACGGCUACA